GCCAGGCAUUGUGGUGGGCGCUUAGAGUCCCAGCUACUCAGGAGGCUGAGACAGGAGGAUCGCUUGAGUCCCAGAGUUCUGGGGUGUAGUGCACCAUGCUGAUCAGGUGUCUCCACUAAGUUCAGCAUCAAUAUGAUGACCUCCUUGGAGUAGGGGGGCCACCAGGUUGCCUAAGGAGGAGUGAACCAGCCCAGGUCGGAAAUGGAGCAGGUCAAAACUCCUGUGCUGAUCAGUAGUUGGAUCACACCUGUGAAUAGCCACUGCACUCCAGCUUGGGCAACAUAGCAAGACCCCUUAUCUU
rfam:Otolemur garnettii contig124160, whole genome shotgun sequence.